AGGGUUUGAUCCUGGCUCAGAUUGAACGCUGGCGGCAGGCCUAACACAUGCAAGUCGAGCGGUAACAUUUCUAGCUUGCUAGAAGAUGACGAGCGGCGGACGGGUGAGUAAUGCUUGGGAACAUGCCUUGAGGUGGGGGACAACAGUUGGAAACGACUGCUAAUACCGCAUAAUGUCUACGGACCAAAGGGGGCUUCGGCUCUCGCCUUUAGAUUGGCCCAAGUGGGAUUAGCUAGUUGGUGAGGUAAUGGCUCACCAAGGCGACGAUCCCUAGCUGGUUUGAGAGGAUGAUCAGCCACACUGGGACUGAGACACGGCCCAGACUCCUACGGGAGGCAGCAGUGGGGAAUAUUGCACAAUGGGCGCAAGCCUGAUGCAGCCAUGCCGCGUGUGUGAAGAAGGCCUUCGGGUUGUAAAGCACUUUCAGUCAGGAGGAAAGGUUAGUAGUUAAUACCUGCUAGCUGUGACGUUACUGACAGAAGAAGCACCGGCUAACUCCGUGCCAGCC
rnacentral:rRNA from 1 species